AGUGAGCACACUGUUUGCUUAAGAGCUUUUGUGGAUACUGAGCCAAAACACCAGGGGAACCCUGGUGAGAAAGUGUAGCAAGAUCUUAGAGAGGGUGACUCUCUGGACCCCUCCAUGCCUCCCUGAGGAUCGGGGAGCCUGGGACAGCUGUCUGCAUUCCCUAGAGAGGCAUCUCCCAGUGGUGCCGGGAGGAAGGAAGCUGGAAGCUCCGGUUGCUGUGAGCCAAGCAGAGGGAGAAAGAGACCACUGACAGCACCAGGGAUGAGCUGAGGAGGCAGCAGCCGAGCAUGGGGUGACCCCGCCACGGAGAACUGGGAACUCCUGGAGAUGAUGCAUGACAGACUCCUGUGGGCCCUACAUGCUCCCUCGGUGUGCAGGUGACUGUACUGUCUAGCAUGCCCAGCAUCUUCACAGCAGAAGACACUGUGUUUCUGCCCACAACACAGAGUUUGCGUUGAGCGUAUCUAGAAAUCAGCAUCCACACUGAUGGCUGAACAGAGCGAAUGAGGAAUGGGUCCAUUCGCUCAGCAGCGGCAUUUAAGGUUUUCUCUAAGCUGGAAGAGAAUUUGGCUUUACGGGCAACGAUCUGGGGUGAAACUCACUGUGACCUUUCUCUCACAGGUGCGUCCUGUGCUCCACAAGGCAGCAGCUCUGUUCCCAGUACCUGGGUCCUUCACUCUUCUCUCCAUGAAGCCAAGCUCAGCCUCAGCACUUUGGGGCAUGACCAUGGUCUGACCUGAUUGGUGUUGGGAUGUGUCUCUGGGUCUCAGACACCUGGCAGAGCCAAGCAAAGUGACUGCCUGAAAAUUCGGAGUACAUAGGGCUCCUGAUUCCUAGAUGCCUGGGGACCUGCCCUGCUGUGGAGCCUUGUGAAGUUCCGAAAUCAAUGUUUAGCACUACAUUGCCCCAAAUGAGAAGUAAAUGAUCGUGACAUAAUACUCAAACACUGUGGCAAGAUCAUUUUUAAAGUAUCUAACACCCUCACUGAAGCUGGGUGAUAACUGUUACCAUGCUGAAUAUUCUUCAAGAUUUUUAAAAUGCACAUAACCAACUUGCCAAAAGUGAAAUUUUGUUGCUGAUUGUUCUGUUUUUUAAUUGUUUUUUUUUCUCCUGUAUGUUGAUUUUUGUAUAACAAUAUCAUUACAUUUAAUGGUGGCCUGGAAUUUCUUCGAGUUUUUUUUUUCCUUUUUGGUAAUUAAGUUGUUUCUAGACUUCUUUGUGGUUGAUAAAUAUUCUAUAUUUCUGUAAUUUUUCCAGGUCAAAGGGCAUUAAAAUUAAACUUUUCAUGUAUUUACA